rnacentral:hammerhead_ribozyme from 1 species
AUCCAAUUGACGAGUCCUAAAUAGGAUGGAACGCGCAUCGUGGAU